AUGGGAAAUGAUGCUCCAUCCACCAUAUUCGCCGGACAUUGCUCCGUCAGAACAGUAAUAGAGAAGUAUUUUUCGUCACGGACAAGUGAAUUUUGGAAGAGAGGUCUUGCAAGUGUACCAGAUAGAUGAAAGAGCAUUGUA